UACGUAGGGGGCAAGCGUUGUCCGGAAUCAUUGGGCGUAAAGAGCGUGUAGGCGGCCCGGUAAGUCCGCUGUGAAAGCCCUGGGCUCAACCCAGGAAGUGCACUCGAAACUCCCGAGCUGGAGUCCCGGAGAGGAAGGCGGAAUUCUCGGUGUAGAGGUGAAAUUCGUAGAUAUCGAGAGGAACAUCGGUGGCGAAGGCGGCCUUCUGGACGGUGACUGACGCUGAGACGCGAAAGCGUGGGGAGCAAACAGG
rnacentral:rRNA from 1 species